ACUCAAAGGAAUUGACGGGGGCCCGCACAAGCGGUGGAGCAUGUGGUUUAAUUCGAUGCAACGCGAAGAACCUUACCUACCCUUGACAUACCAAGAAUUCUGCAGAGAUGUGGAAGUGCCGAAAGGAGCUUGGAUACAGGUGCUGCAUGGCUGUCGUCAGCUCGUGUCGUGAGAUGUUGGGUUAAGUCCCGUAACGAGCGCAACCCCUAUUCUUAAUUGCUAGCAGGUAAAGCUGAGCACUUUAAGGAGACUGCUGGUGACAAACCAGAGGAAGGCGGGGACGACGUCAAGUCAUCAUGGCCCUUACGGGUAGGGCUACACACGUGCUACAAUGGGCGAUACAGAGGGUUGCGAAGCUGUGAAGCGGAGCUAAUCUCAGAAAGUCGUUCGUAGUCCGGAUUGCAGUCUGAAACUCGACUGCAUGAAGCUGGAAUCGCUAGUAAUCGCAAAUCAGAAUGUUGCGGUGAAUACGUUCCCGGGCCUUGUACACACCGCCCGU
rnacentral:rRNA from 1 species